GUGGGCAGCGCUGCACUGAGCCCCCGCGGCCAUGCCCUUAAUAGGGCAUCCAGCGUACCGGUGGGUGGGGUGGGCCGCGCCGGUGGUGGCCCACAGGCUUUUUCAAGGUACGGCCGUCUGGGCCAGUGUCCCUAGUCUGUGGCCAGCAACACGUGGGUCAAAGCUAAGCCAUCCCCUGCCCCUCUGGAGCGCCUUUCCCUUGGGUGAGGUGACUGCUGCUGCCUGGCAGUGGGUUGCAUAGCUGCCGCCUCUCCUCACUUCCCCAAACUGGCCAGGCCCUGGUUUGCACCUGUCCCCUGGGGGCAGCCCCUCCUUCCUCUCCAGAGGAACAUCAGAGUAGCCACCAGCUCUGUGGCCACAGACCCCCUCGCCCUGCUUCGUGCCCUCCUGGAGCUUCUGGACCUGCCCAGGCCCUCACUGCUGUCAACCAGCCAAAGCCCAGCUGCCUGGCUCUGGAUUGGAUCACCUAAUUCUGAGCAGAAGUGGACCCAGCCCUGGCUCUUAGCCACAGAGGCUGGGGAGUGUUGAGAUGGGGUCCCCAGGCAGAACUGAGCAGAGCUGGUUUCAGCUCCACACUGGUAUUUUCGCUGGCUCUGCCUGCAAGGGCACCUCAGGGAAAGAGGUCCUGCUGGGGCUUUGCCUGGAGUCCUGUGGUGCCACUUUCCACUUCAGACCUCACGCAGGGUAGGUUUCAGAAUGCUCUGAGCCCUGUGGGUGUGCUCUGUGGGCCUCUGCCAGUACUAUAACUAACCCUUUAGCCUGUGUGGCCAGUUAACCUGGGCUCAGUUGUGACAUUUCUGGUUUAGUGGAUUCCUGACCAUUGCACCCCUGUGGAGGCCUUGGGUCGGGGGCUGGCCUGAUGCUCAUUCCUGCAUGGCUGACCUUAUCUUGAAGGGUCUACCUCAACAGAUGCAAGGCAGAGAAUGGCAGCCUGCUUGGGCCAUAGUCCUCUGGGUAAAUUCUGUUUACCAGGGGCUACUUAUGUAGAUUAGUGCUUCCCUCCAGAAUCCUUGGUCUGGUCAGUUUGCUGAGCUGCUGCAUUGCCAGAGUCUAUCCUCGAGCUGGGGAGGGUCGAGGUGGGUUCUUUUUCUUCUUCUUCUUCUUCUUUAGUUUUUAUAUGUAUUUUUAGUUGUUGAUGAACCUUUAUUUUAUUCACUUAUUUAUAUGCAGUGCUGAGAAUCAAACCCAGUUCUUCACACAUGCUAGGCAAGCGCUCUACCUCUGAGCCACAACCCCAGUCCUGUUCUAGACAUCUUGCUGAAGCUCCCCUGGCCUUCCUGAGGAGCUGUGUUUCCCCUGGAGUGAGAGUGUUCUGUUAGUCUAGGAGUGUCCUGACAGAUCCCUGGAGGUUCCUGGGAUUGUGUCUCGGUGCCUUCAUCCAGCCUAGCUACCUCAGUAGACAAGCUGAUGUUGGACACACUGGGGUGUCUUGGCUUGUGUCUGCCUUCUAGUCUGGAGGCCGAUGAGAGGGCUGUUGGGGCUCUUGCCCGGCUUGGGCUGGUGAACCGAGGGUGCCUGCCUGCAGUAGACUUGUCAUGUGAUAAUGCAGCUCCAAUGCGCAUGUGUGGCACCAGCCCGAGAGUAGCUGAGAGUUGCUAGGCAGGAGAGCAGGUGCUAGGGGCUCCUUGAGCUGAGGGUCAAGAGAACUUCUGGGACAUACCAGGGACGGAGUCCCUUCAGCUCUGGCUCCAGGGAGGGGAUGAGUGAGAAGCUGGGAGCCGUAGCCCAAGGCCAAGGAAUAGCUGUGUGCCCCAUUCCUCUCCCAGACCUGACUGGGCUGCUGGAGGGCUGAAGCCCCUACCACAUGCUGUUCCUGGGGUGGAGUGGUCUGGGGAGACUGUUCCCAGUGAGGGAGGUAGAGGGUAUUUGCCUGAUAUUAGCCAGUGAGCAGCAGCAGGCAGUGGAAGCAGGAGUACCCCUCUCCUGGGCCCAGCACCACUCCAGCUUGCCCUGAGGAGGGGGAGGGAGAUCACUCACCUGCUCUGAGGGACCCCUAUCCAGCCCAUGCCUGAGCUGAGGAAGGGUGCCAGCCUCUGACUCCUGGCUUCCUCCCGCUCUGGCAUAAAGCCCAGCCACUCCUUUGACAGACUCCACCUUCCUUUUCUGACUCUCACCCCAUUGACCUUCAGCCCCCACACAACUUCUCAGGCCUUCCCAGGAUAGGUCAUUCCUGGCUUUCCCCCUGGAAACCCCUGGUCUUCCCUGCAGGGUUACUGUACCUCCUAAAACAUUUUCAACUUUCUAUCUGCCUGAGCCCCUCAGCCUGCCCCAUCCUCCCUGUCUUCUAUCCAGGGUGGAUUCCUAUGGGACUGAGACCACUGGGGCUCAUGGUGAGACAGAGCUCAGGUGCCCCAGGGGAGGAGACCUCCCUUGCUUCAAGGCUGUGGACUAGCCAGCCAGUUAGCUAUGAGGGGUGUCUUGACCCUGGUCCCCCAAGCCUGGUGUGUGACAGCUCACAAAGGCUGGGCCACCCUGCUGUGCCUUGGGAGCCUGGAGAGACCUGUGGUAGAGCGGGAGGGCCAGGCAGGGUCUGAGCGGGAGCUGAGGUGACACAGCUGAAUGGAGGAGUUCCGGAAUGUUUGUUGAAGAAGGAACAGUUGGAGCUCCUUAGCAGUGCUGCACACCAUAGGGGCAGUGACCAGUCAGUGGGGCCCUGGCACAGGCUGCAGGAUAGGGGUUGGGGAGUGAGGCCAUCUGGGAGGUCUGGGCAGCCAUGGGUAGAGACUUCAAGGCUGUCCUAUCAGGAAUGGGAGCUUUGUGACAUGAGACAGCAUGGACUAAAGGAUGGGUGCUGAUGAUGCUGCCAAGAGGGUCCUGGAGGGGACGAUUUGUGUGAGAGGAGAGAGCAGGGGAGAGUAUUGUUGGUGAGUGGGUGGGAUCGGGGAACCUGCAGGAGGUACCCACCUGGGAGCCCUCUCUGGACUGGGAAGAAGGUGGGUUGGAAAGGGGCUAGGUGGAGUGUCAGCAUGUCUGCAGGCAGACCCAGCUGGUGGAGGGUUUCCCCACUUUCCUGCACUGUCAUUGUGAUGGCAUUGUCCUCACAUCUCUGCCCCCUCCUGUGCUGAACUCUGAGCUUGGUGAUCUGUGUCUCUGGGGCCCCCAGCCAGCGUUUGCAGGGUGCUUGCACGAAAGAAUGGUAAUGGCAAAGGGUGUUGUCUGCAGUGGCUAGAGCUCAGCUGGCAGAGUAGAGGCUGGCAGUUGUUUGGGGGCCUUCUGAGAGGCUUUUGAUCUGUGAUUAUUGUCAAAAGUCAUGCUAAAAAAUAAACAAAAGUUAAGUUCAGUGGAGCUAUCCAAAGAAAAGUGGUGAUGGGUGGGCUGGGGUUGUGACUCAGCGGUAGAGCGCUGCCUAGCACGAGUGAGACCCGGGUUCGAUCCUCGGCACCACAUAAAAAUAACGGCAUUGUGUUGUGUCCAU
rnacentral:lncRNA from 1 species